rnacentral:rRNA from 1 species
CUUUAUAUAUGCAAGUCGAGCGGCAGCGCGGGGGCAACCCUGGCGGCGAGCGGCGAACGGGUGAGUAAGAUAGCGGAACAUGUCCAGUCGUGGGGGAUAGCCCGGCGAAAGCCGGAUUAACAGACGCAUGAGCUCGAGAGAGGAAAGCGGGGGACCGUAAGGCCUCGCGCGACUGGGUUGGCCGAUGUCCGAUUAGCUUGUUGGUGGGGUAAAGGCCUACCAAGGCGAUGAUCGGUAGCUGGUCUGAGAGGAUGAUCAGCCACACUGGGACUGAGACACGAGCUAGACUCCUACGGGAGGCAGCAGUGGGGAAUUUUGGACAAUGGGGGCAACCCUGAUCCAGCACGGGCCGCGUGAGUGAAGAAGGCCUUCGGGUUGUAAAGCUCUUUUGUCCGGAGCGAAACGGUUGUGGUGAAUAUCCACGACUACUGACGGUACCGGAAGAAUAAGCACCGGCUAACUACGUGCCAGCAGCCGCGGUAACAGAGUAGGGUGCGAGCGUUGAUCGGAAUUACUGGGCGUAAAGCGUGCGCAGGCGGGCUUUUAAGCCAGACGUGAAAUCCCCGGGCUUAACCUGGGAAUGGCGUUUGGGACUGGGAGUCUGGAGUGCGGCAGAGGAGACUGGAAUUCCUGGUGUAGCAGUGAAAUGCGUAGAUAUCAGGAGGAACACCGAUGGCGAAGGCAGGUCUCUGGGCUGACACUGACGCUCAUGCACGAAAGCGUGGGGAGCAAACAGGAUUAGACA